rnacentral:rRNA from 1 species
UACGUAGGCAGCGAGCGUUGUUCGGAAUUACUGGGCGUAAAGAGUGUGUAGGCGGUGCUCUAAGUUCGGUGUGAAAUCUCCCGGCUUAACUGGGAGGGUGCGCCGGAAACUGGAGUGCUCGAGCGUGGGAGAGGAAAGCGGAAUUCCUGGUGUAGCGGUGAAAUGCGUAGAUAUCGGGAGGAACACCUGUGGCGAAAGCGGCGCACUGGACCACAACUGACGCUGAGGCGCGAAAGCUAGGGGAGCAAACAGG